AACGAACGCUGGCGGCAGGCCUAACACAUGCAAGUCGAGCGAAGCCUUCGGGCUUAGCGGCGGACGGGUGAGUAACGCGUGGGAACGUGCCCUUUGGUACGGAAUAGCCCCGGUAAACUGGGAGUAAUACCGUAUGUGGUCGAGAGACGAAAGAUUUAUCGCCAAAGGAUCGGCCCGCGUUGGAUUAGGUAGUUGGUGGGGUAAUGGCCUACCAAGCCGACGAUCCAUAGCUGGUUUGAGAGGAUGAUCAGCCACACUGGGACUGAGACACGGCCCAGACUCCUACGGGAGGCAGCAGUGGGGAAUCUUAGACAAUGGGGGAAACCCUGAUCUAGCCAUGCCGCGUGAUCGAUGAAGGCCUUAGGGUUGUGAAGAUCUUUCAGUGGGGAAGAUAAUGACUGUACCCACAGAAGAAGCCCCGGCUAACUCCGUGCCAGCCGCCGCCGUAAUAC
rnacentral:rRNA from 1 species